rnacentral:rRNA from 1 species
AUUGAACGCUGGCGGCAGGCUUAACACAUGCAAGUCGAGCGAGCGGCGGACGGGUGAGUAAUGUCUGGGAAACUGCCUGAUGGAGGGGGAUAACUACUGGAAACGGUAGCUAAUACCGCAUACCAUCAGAUGUGCCCAGAUGGGUUUAGCUAGUAGGUGGGGUAAUGGCUCACCUAGGCGACGAUCCCUAGCUGGUCUGAGAGGAUGACCAGCCACGCUGGAAAUGAGACACGGUCCAGACUCCUACGGGAGGCAGCAGUGGGGAAUAUUGCACAAUGGGCGCAAGCCUGAUGCAGCCAGGCCGCGUGUUUGAAGAAGGCCUUCGGGUUGUAAAGCACUUUCAUCGGGGAGGCGUUACUCGCAGAGGAAGCACCGGCUAACUCCGUGCCAGCAGCCGCGGUAAUUC